rnacentral:rRNA from 1 species
GACAGAGGCCUCAAGCGUUAGGCGGAAUCACUGGGCUUAAAGCGUGUGUAGGCGGAUCGUUAAGUGUCUUGUGAAAUCCCACGGCUCACCCGUGGAACUGCUGGGCAUACUGGCGAUCUUGGGCCAACUAGGGGCAACUGGAACAAGCGGUGGAGCGGUGAAAUGCGUAGAUAUCGCUUGGAACGCCGAAGGUGAAAACAGGUCGCUGGGGAUGUGCCGACGCUGAGACACGAAAGCCAGGGGAGCAAACGGG